CGGGUGCACUGAUCCAGCCGGGCCUUUCCCUCUGUGGAACCCCAUGGCCUUCACUGGCUGUGGCGGGGAAACAGGACUUUUACUUUGAAAAAAUUAGAGUGCUCCAGGCAGGCCUAUGCUCGAAUACAUUAGCAUGGAAUAAUAGAAUAGGACGUGUGGUUCUAUUUUGUUGGUUUCUAGGACCGCCGUAAUGAUUAAUAGGGACAGUCGGGGGCAUCAGUAUUCAAUUGUCAGAGGUGAAAUUCUUGGAUCUAUUGAAGACUAACUACUGCGAAAGCAUUUGCCAAGGAUGUUUUCAUUGAUAAGGAACGAAAGUUAGGGGAUCGAAGACGAUCAGAUACCGUCGUAGUCUUAACUAUAAACUAUGCCGACUAGGGAUCGGACGAUGCUAUUCUUUGACGCGUUCGGCACCUUUCGAGAAAUCAAAGUGCUUGGGCUCCAGGGGGAGUAUGGUCGCAAGGCUGAAACUUAAAGAAAUUGACGGAAGGGCACCACCAGGGGUGGAACCUGCGGCUUAAUUUGACUCAACACGGGGAAACUCACCAGGUCCAGACACAGUGAGGAUUGACAGAUUGAGAGCUCUUUCUUGAUUCUGUGGGUGGUGGUGCAUGGCCGUUCUUAGUUGGUGGAGUGAUUUGUCUGCUUAAUUGCGAUAACGAACGAGACCUUAACCUGCUAAAUAGCCCGUACUGCUUUGGCAGUUCGCCGGCUUCUUAGAGGGACUAUCGG
rnacentral:rRNA from 1 species